GGGGAGGUUACAUGGCAGUCGAACGGGAGACCUUCGGGUCUCUAGUGGCGAACGGGUGAGUAACACGUAGGGAACCUGCCCGCGCACCGGGAAUACGCUCUGGAAACGGAGAACAAAUCCCGAUGUACAGGAAGGAGGCAUCUUCUUUCUGUGAAACAUCCUUUAGGGGAUGGGGCGCGGAUGGACCUGCGGUGCAUUAGUUGGUUGGCGGGGUAAAGGCCCACCAAGACGAUGAUGCAUAGCCGGCCUGAGAGGGCGGACGGCCACAUUGGGACUGAGACACGGCCCAGACUCCUGCGGGAGGCAGCAGUAGGGAAUUUUCGUCAAUGGGCGCAAGCCUGAACGAGCGAUGCCGCGUGAGUGAAGAAGGCCUUCGGGUCGUAAAGCUCUGUUGCGGGGGAAAAAAGGCAGCAUCAGGAAAUGGGUGCUGACUGAUGGUGCCCCGCCAGAAAGUCACGGCUAACUACGUGCCAGCAGCCGCGGUAAUACGUAGGUGGCGAGCGUUAUCCGGAAUGAUUGGGCGUAAAGGGUGCGCAGGCGGUCCUGCAAGUCUGGAGUGAAACGCAUGAGCUCAACUCAUGCAUGGCUUUGGAAACUGGAGGACUGGAGAGCAGGAGAGGGCGGUGGAACUCCAUGUGUAGCGGUAAAAUGCGUAGAUAUAUGGAAGAACACCAGUGGCGAAGGCGGCCGCCUGGCCUGUUGCUGACGCUGAGGCACGAAAGCGUGGGGAGCAAAUGGGAUUAGAUACCC
rnacentral:rRNA from 1 species